UACGAAGGGGGCUAGCGUUGCUCGGAAUCACUGGGCGUAAAGGGUGCGUAGGCGGGUUUUUAAGUCAGGGGUGAAAUCCUGGAGCUCAACUCCAGAACUGCCUUUGAUACUGAAGAUCUUGAGUCCGGGAGAGGUGAGUGGAACUGCGAGUGUAGAGGUGAAAUUCGUAGAUAUUCGCAAGAACACCAGUGGCGAAGGCGGCUCACUGGCCCGGUACUGACGCUGAGGCACGAAAGCGUGGGGAGCAAACAGA
rnacentral:rRNA from 1 species